rnacentral:rRNA from 1 species
UACGGAGGGUGCAAGCGUUGUCCGGAUUUAUUGGGUUUAAAGGGUGCGUAGGCGGCCCUGUAAGUCAGUGGUGAAAUACUGCAGCUUAACUGUAGCAUUGCCAUUGAUACUGUAGGGCUUGAGUACAGAUGAGGUAGGCGGAAUUGAUGGUGUAGCGGUGAAAUGCAUAGCUACCAUCAAGAACACCGAUUGCGAAGGCAGCUUACUAAGCUGUAACUGACGCUGAGGCACGAAAGCGUGGGGAUCGAACAGG